GCGGAGGGAUCAUUACACAAAUAUGAAGGCGGGCUGGAAUCUCUCGGGGUUACAGCCUUGCUGAAUUAUUCACCCUUGUCUUUUGCGUACUUCUUGUUUCCUUGGUGGGUUCGCCCACCACUAGGACAAACAUAAACCUUUUGUAAUUGCAAUCAGCGUCAGUAACAAAUUAAUAAUUACAACUUUCAACAACGGAUCUCUUGGUUCUGGCAUCGAUGAAGAACGCAGCGAAAUGCGAUAAGUAGUGUGAAUUGCAGAAUUCAGUGAAUCAUCGAAUCUUUGAACGCACAUUGCGCCCUUUGGUAUUCCAAAGGGCAUGCCUGUUCGAGCGUCAUUUGUACCCUCAAGCUUUGCUUGGUGUUGGGCGUCUUGUCUCUAGCUUUGCUGGAGACUCGCCUUAAAGUAAUUGGCAGCCGGCCUACUGGUUUCGGAGCGCAGCACAAGUCGCACUCUCUAUCAGCAAAGGUCUAGCAUCCAUUAAGCCUUUUUUCAACUUUUGACCUCGGAUCAGGUAGGGAUACCCGCUGAACUUAA
rnacentral:rRNA from 1 species